rnacentral:lncRNA from 7 species
AAGGAGGGGGGGGGAACUUCCGCGGUCAGCUGAGGGUGGAGUUGCCGUCGCUGCUCCUCCCUGUGCUUGCGGGCAGUCUCGGCCCGGGGCGGCGGCCGCUUCAGUAAAGGUCUAACAGUGUUGCUGUCCAACGUUUCUGAUCCAGGCCAGGAAGAGGAGGGGACUUUUUCCUGCUUGCAGACAUCAGGACCCAGCACUGUGGCAGUGAGCAGCAGCCUGCAGUCGGUGCUCCUCAAGCUCUGCAGCAUGCCCUCUGCUCCAGGACAGCGUGCACAUCUUCAGCAGGAACAUGAGAGAAACGCGGGGAAAUCAUGGAAAUGUUUGUUGAAGAAAUUUAAAAUAAAAAAAAGAAACCAAAAACCAUAAAUCACAAUUAAAGGGAAAAGGUUUCAACAGCAACAAAAAUAAUAAAACC